AUUGAACGCUGGCGGCAGGCCUAACACAUGCAAGUCGAGCGGAUGAAGGGAGCUUGCUCCUGGAUUCAGCGGCGGACGGGUGAGUAAUGCCUAGGAAUCUGCCUGGUAGUGGGGAUAACGUCCGGAAACGGGCGCUAAUACCGCAUACGUCCUGAGGGAGAAAGUGGGGGAUCUUCGGACCUCACGCUAUCAGAUGAACCUAGGUCGGAUUAGCUAGUUGGUGGGGUAAAGGCCUACCAAGGCGACGAUCCGUAACUGGUCUGAGAGGAUGAUCAGUCACACUGGAACUGAGACACGGUCCAGACUCCUACGGGAGGCAGCAGUGGGGAAUAUUGGACAAUGGGCGAAAGCCUGAUCCAGCCAUGCCGCGUGUGUGAAGAAGGUCUUCGGAUUGUAAAGCACUUUAAGUUGGGAGGAAGGGCAGUAAGUUAAUACCUUGCUGUUUUGACGUUACCAACAGAAUAAGCACCGGCUAACUUCGUG
rnacentral:rRNA from 1 species